GAUCUGGAGAAAACAGGCGAGUCAUAUCACACAAACUGAAGGAUCUGGAGAAAACAGACGAGUCAUAUCACACAAACUGAAGGAUCUGGAGAAAACAGACGAGUCAUAUCACACAAACUGAAGGAUCUGGAGAAAACAGACGAGUCAUAUCACACAAACUGAAGGAUCUGGAGAAAACAGACGAGUCAUAUCACACAAACUGAAGGAUCUGGAGAAAACAGACGAGUCAUAUCACACAAACUGAAGGAUCUGGAGAAAACAGACGAGUCAUAUCACACAAAGCCAAGUGGAACCCAUGACUCUUCAGAGGUGCAUUUCAAAAGGAUGAUUGACAUGUCUGAAGCCAAAACACGAGGACUGGACAUCUUACCACAGGAACCUUCUCAUGCAGUGCUAACGAUCCACAGACUUCUCCUCAAGUCCCUGAGCAUGUUCCCUGCCUUCUAGCUGUUCUUGUGCAGGUGGUUGCAGAGUGUAAGUACGGCUGCUGAAGUUUCCAGUGACGAUGACGAGACCCAGGGCGCUGCCAGCAAAACCAGCAAAACGGAAGAAGUACGAUGCUCCUGCCCCAAAAGCCAAGCGGAGAAAGAAAAGCUCUGAACAAGAGGCAGCUUCCACAGUUUCCUCCAUUUCCACUGCUUCCACCACAGAUGCAGAUGGGUCGGACUCUGACUCUGGAAGAAAAUUGCCUUGGAGCUGAUCAAGAGAUGGCAGGAAGUGAACUUUGCUUGGACUAUGGC